GUCUAUAUGAAGAUUUAUAUAGUCUGUCCUGCCCACUGGUGUAUUGAGUAAAUGGCUGCAGUAUAUUGACUGUACAAAGGUAGCAUAAUAAUUAGAUUUUUAAAUGAAAUCUGGAAUGAAAGGAUUGACAAAAAGAAAUCUGUCUUUUUUUUAAUUAUAAAAUUUAACUUUAAAGUGAAAAGGCUUUAAUAAAUUAAGGGGNCGAUAAGACCCUAUAAAACUUUAUAAUUUUUUCUUAUUUAAAAAUUGUUAUUUUUUAAGUAAAAAUUAUUUUACUGGGGUGGUGUGUUAUAAUUUUAAUUAGCUAAUAAAGAUUAAGUCAUUGGUAAAUGGAAAGUUUGAUCCUAAAAAAGAUUAAAAGAGUAAGUUACUUUAGGGAUAACAGCGUUAUUUUUUUGGAGAGUUCUUAUUAAAAAAAAAGAUUGCGACCUCGAUGUUGAAUUAAAAAUUACUUUAUGGAGCAGUAUCUAUAAAAGUAGGUCUGUUCGACCUUUAAAUAUUU
rnacentral:rRNA from 1 species